AGAGUUUGAUCAUGGCUCAGAACGAACGCUGGCGGCAGGCUUAACACAUGCAAGUCGAACGCAUCCUUCGGGGUGAGUGGCAGACGGGUGAGUAACGCGUGGGAACGUGCCCUUCAGUUCGGAAUAACCCAGGGAAACUUGGGCUAAUACCGGAUACGUGCGAGAGCAGAAAGAUUUAUCGCUGAAGGAUCGGCCCGCGUCUGAUUAGCUAGUUGGUGGGGUAAUGGCCCACCAAGGCGACGAUCAGUAGCUGGUCUGAGAGGAUGAUCAGCCACAUUGGGACUGAGACACGGCCCAAACUCCUACGGGAGGCAGCAGUGGGGAAUAUUGGACAAUGGGCGCAAGCCUGAUCCAGCCAUGCCGCGUGAGUGAUGAAGGCCUUAGGGUUGUAAAGCUCUUUCGUCCGGGACGAUAAUGACGGUACCGGAAGAAGAAGCCCCGGCUAACUUCGUGCCAGCAGCCGCGGUAAUACGAAGGGGGCUAGCGUUGUUCGGAAUCACUGGGCGUAAAGGGCGCGUAGGCGGCUUUGUAAGUCGGGGGUGAAAGCCUGUGGCUCAACCACAGAAUUGCCUUCGAUACUGCAUGGCUUGAGACCGGAAGAGGUAAGUGGAACUGCGAGUGUAGAGGUGAAAUUCGUAGAUAUUCGCAAGAACACCAGUGGCGAAGGCGGCUUACUGGUCCGGUUCUGACGCUGAGGCGCGAAAGCGUGGGGAGCAAACAGGAUUAGAUACCCUAGUAGUCC
rnacentral:rRNA from 1 species